UAGGGAAUCUUCCGCAAUGGGCGAAAGCCUGACGGAGCAACGCCGCGUGAGUGAUGAAGGUCUUCGGAUCGUAAAACUCUGUUAUUAGGGAAGAACAAAUGUGUAAGUAACUAUGCACGUCUUGACGGUACCUAAUCAGAAAGCCACGGCUAACUACGUGCCAGCAGCCGCGGUAAUACGUAGGUGGCAAGCGUUAUCCGGAAUUAUUGGGCGUAAAGCGCGCGUAGGCGGUUUUUUAAGUCUGAUGGGAAAGCCCACGGGUCAACCGUGGAGGGUCAUUGGAAACUGGAAAACUUGAGUGCAGAAGAGGAAAGUGGAAUUCCAGGUGUAGCGGUGAAAUGCGCAGAGAUAUGGAGGAACACCAGUGGCGAAGGCGACUUUCUGGUCUGUAACUGACGCUGAUGUGCGAAAGCGGGGGGAUCAAACAGG
rnacentral:rRNA from 1 species